rnacentral:rRNA from 1 species
GAUGAACGCUGGCGGCGUGCCUAAUACAUGCAAGUCGAGCGAACAGACGAGGAGCUUGCUCCUCUGACGUUAGCGGCGGACGGGUGAGUAACACGUGGAUAACCUACCUAUAAGACUGGGAUAACUUCGGGAAACCGGAGCUAAUACCGGAUAAUAUAUUGAGCCGCAUGGUUCAAUAGUGAAAGACGGUUUUGCUGUCACUUAUAGAUGGAUCCGCGCCGCAUUAGCUAGUUGGUAAGGUAACGGCUUACCAAGGCAACGAUGCGUAGCCGACCUGAGAGGGUGAUCGGCCACACUGGAACUGAGACACGGUCCAGACUCCUACGGGAGGCAGCAGUAGGGAAUCUUCCGCAAUGGGCGAAAGCUUGACGGAGCAACGCCGCGUAAGUGAUGAAGGUCUUCGGAUCGUAAAACUCUGUUAUUAGGGAAGAACAAAUGUGUAAGUAACUAUGCACGUCUUGACGGUACCUAAUCAGAAAGCCACGGCUAACUACGUG